rnacentral:rRNA from 1 species
UGUCAGGACGAACGCUGGCGGCGUGCCUAAUACAUGCAAGUCGAGCGGACAGAUGGGAGCUUGCUCCCUGAUGUUAGCGGCGGACGGGUGAGUAACACGUGGGUAACCUGCCUGUAAGACUGGGAUAACUCCGGGAAACCGGGGCUAAUACCGGAUGGUUGUUUGAACCGCAUGGUUCAGACAUAAAAGGUGGCUUCGGCUACCACUUACAGAUGGACCCGCGGCGCAUUAGCUAGUUGGUGAGGUAACGGCUCACCAAGGCGACGAUGCGUAGCCGACCUGAGAGGGUGAUCGGCCACACUGGGACUGAGACACGGCCCAGACUCCUACGGGAGGCAGCAGUAGGGAAUCUUCCGCAAUGGACGAAAGUCUGACGGAGCAACGCCGCGUGAGUGAUGAAGGUUUUCGGAUCGUAAAGCUCUGUUGUUAGGGAAGAACAAGUGCCGUUCAAAUAGGGCGGCACCUUGACGGUACCUAACCAGAAAGCCACGGCUAACUACGUGCCAGCAGCCGCGGUAAUACGUAGGUGGCAAGCGUUGUCCGGAAUUAUUGGGCGUAAAGGGCUCGCAGGCGGUUUCUUAAGUCUGAUGUGAAAGCCCCCGGCUCAACCGGGGAGGGUCAUUGGAAACUGGGGAACUUGAGUGCAGAAGAGGAGAGUGGAAUUCCACGUGUAGCGGUGAAAUGCGUAGAGAUGUGGAGGAACACCAGUGGCGAAGGCGACUCUCUGGUCUGUAACUGACGCUGAGGAGCGAAAGCGUGGGGAGCGAACAGGAUUAGAUACCCUGGUAGUCCACGCCGUAAACGAUGAGUGCUAAGUGUUAGGGGGUUUCCGCCCCUUAGUGCUGCAGCUAACGCAUUAAGCACUCCGCCUGGAGACGUGAACG